GUAUGCUUCUUGACGUAUCUACAUAAUGAGGAAUACAAAUCUUUAUAUCUUUUAUCAGUAACUAUUCAUAGUUUAAUUGUGUAAAUUUUAAAAUAUCACACUUUUAUAAUCUUGAACAUACUUGUGCAUAUUUUUUCUACAUUUCUGAUUAUACUAGUAAGCAUUUAACACAUAAUGUGAACCAGUCACCAUGCUUAGUCCUGAGAAUUUAGAAAUACAAAUAUUUGAUCUCUGUCCUGAGAGUUCUUAGUCCAGGAGAGGAGACAGAAGAGUGGAAACAAAAUCACAAGAAGAAUGUGUGAGUUUACAGAGAAAACUGCCAGGCACUGUCUGAGUCAAGGAAGGGUGCCCACCUCUGACUAGGAGUAAUGAGUCAGAAAAAAAAAAAUGUUUUUGAAGAUGUACUGUACGAAUUGACCAGUCCAUGGGUAAUGCAGAGUGGAUCCAGGUGGAUGCCAAGCGUACAGUUUCACAGCCGAGAAUCACUGAGCUUGGGACAUUCUGAUCCAUACAGAAGCUGAUGGCAAAUUCCUCAUCCUCCUCUACAAAGACAGGCAUUGUCUUUACCUUGGCAUGGAAACAAGUUUUCUUCUGAUGAGAUGUUGAAGAUUUUAUCAUUAUGGAACGUCUUCAGAGAUGCAGAUGUUCUCUAUAAUUAUUAUACGUGUCAAGAAAUAAUUCUGCUGUCUGACCCAAAGAGACAAACUAUCUCUAGCCUCUAAAGGUCUUUGCUGUGCAUGUAUCCUUGAAAAGGUAGUCCAAGACAUGUGGAAAUGCCAUGGAAAUUGUCUCUAACAUCCCCAUUUCCUAAAUUCUGUACAAAUGCAUAAAACUGGUUAAAUAUUUAAGGAAAUAGCUUAAUCUUUAAAAACCCAUCAGUCUAGUUGCUGCUAAUAGUACAUUGAAUGUGAUUGUUUUGUUUUUGCUGCUUUGGAGUUGGAAACUUUCUAUACAGGACAUGCUAAGAGAUGAAGAAUCCCAUUUUGUGGGAUUAGACUCAAUACUCACUGUAAGGAUUUAUAAGGACAAACCAGAAGACUAAAACAAAUGGCUGGAAAGAGAAUUUCACUAGAGAUGUACCAGUGUGCUGUGACAUUUUUCUUUUGCUUCCACUGGAAGGGGAAAAGGGUUCCCUCCUCUUCACCUUAUACCAAGUUAGGGAGGUUAAAAAGAACCUACCAGAGAGUUUGGCCUAUGUCCUCUGGACUUUGGGGGUGUAGAAACUGCCUAACUCGUGUAUAAAGGCAAAAACCUGGAUAACUUCUUUGAAUAUUGAGCAUAGACAGAGAAGAAGCUGGACUCCACCACUGGCAGGACAAAGAAUGGUGAGAAUCAAAAAUUCUGGUAAGUUCUCAUGGAUGGUCUAUAGGCCACAUGUCUGGGUACCUAACAUUUAUUCUGGUCCCACAGCAAUAAAUUCAUAAGUGUUCUUGGUUCAAGCAGUUUACAUUAGCAUGAAGAGCUUGAAUAUGAUUAAUGAGAAGUUUGUUCAGCCAUAAGGGUACCCUGUGCUAUAUCCUCUUCACCAAACUGUGCAAUGUGUGAGUAAGAUUAAUGUGUUAUGCUGAAACCAAGUGUGUUGUAUACAGUCAAGUCUCUGUCCAGAACUGAUUUAGUCUCAUGCUCAUCAGGCUGUGUGUGAAGGGGAAGCUGAGCUUCCAUAAGGUCUAGCAUCUCUCAUUCACACAGGCAUUGUCAUCCACAAGUGUGUAUGCCCUGCUGAAGAUUGCAGGCUGUAAACGUACAUCCUGCUUGUUCGUAGGUGAUAUUGAUGACCUUUUGUGCUGUGAAUCUUGACUCAGCAGACCUCUUGAUUUAAUCAAGUGAUGUCUGGUCUUUCUGUAUAUCUGAACUUACUUCUUGACAUUGCCCAGUGGUGAAGUAUACAAUGUCACAUUGGGUUGAAAAGUAUAGGGAAAGUGGACAUUCUUUUAUUAUGUUGGUAAAGUGUAAGUUGGUAAAACUCAUAUGGAUUGAUAGACUAUACAUAACUGUUUAACGGAGACAGUCCAAUUUAUAUCUGUUUUUUUUUUCAGUGUAAUUAUAACUAGUACCUCAUUUCACUAUCAAAACAUUCCCACAUGGAUAAUAAAUUAUAUGGUCAUCCUUUAAAGGGUAAUUUGUCAAUAUGUACUAAAAUGAUAAAUUCUCAUAUCCUUUGACACAUAAAUUCAACUUAAGGUAUUAUUUCACAUAGAUAUCUUCUGACAUAUAUGUAAAAUGAUACAUACAAAGUUCUUCAUUAGAGCAUUAUUUGUAAUGUGAAAGAUUAGAAACAACAUAAAUGUUAAUACUUACCAACAGAGUACUGAUGAAAUAAAUUAUGAUAAUCCACAUAAAAAUACAAUGGAGCCAUUACAAAAGAAUAAAGAAGGUCUUCAUGUAGUAAGCAGGGUGACCUCAAGAUAUAUCAUUAAGUUUAAAGUUUAAAAUGGCAAGAUUUACAGCCGGGCACAGUGACUCACACCUGUAAUCCCAGCACUUUGGGAGGCC